CCACUUGGCAGUCCAAUCCCUGCAGGUAAAUGUGUGUCCAUGUGUGUCUGCGUCCAUCCCCACACGCACGUGCCAUGGAAGUCAGGAGAGAGCACUGGAAUCCCUGGAGCUGUAACUACGGUCGGAUGUGAGCUGCCUGAUGUGGUGUUAGGGACUAGAUUCAGGUCCUCUGGAAGAACAGCAAGUUCUGGGGAGCCAUCUUUCCAGCUCCUGGCUCUGCUUCUGAUGUUUGGUCGCAGACAGCCCUCAAACCUACAUCUGACAAGCCAAGAGCACCGGCCUGCUCCACUGAUAUCUGGGAAAUUCAAAGCUCAUACAGAAACUAUUAAAGCCAGUCCUUCCUUA
rnacentral:lncRNA from 1 species